GGGGCGGUAGCUCAAUCGGUUAGAGCAGGAGACUCAUAACCUCCCGGUCGUGGGUUCGAGCCCCACCCGCCCUA
rnacentral:tRNA from 1 species